GCCACGGUGUCCGAGCUGGGUUCAAGGAGUUACCUUCAAGCGGUAAUGGCUAUGCCUCGUGGGUUCAAAUCCCACCCGUGGCA